rnacentral:lncRNA from 1 species
UUUCACCUAUAUUUUAGCAAAAAUAAUAAAAAUAUUAGUUUUAAAAAUGGUCAAUUUAAUUUUAAAAAGUCAAAACUGAGCAAUUAAUUUGGGACGGAUGGAGUAUAAACAACUAUGAUUCCAAAUUCUUAAAAAUAAUUAAACUAGCACACCUUAAAAUAUUUUUGGCGGGAGAUAAUAUUUCGACUAUAAGCAUUAUCUUCAGCAAUUCAUUAGAAACCUUUCACCCCAAUUUCUUACCCUUAAGAGGAGAUUUGACCACUCCCUUUUUCUCUUGUUUUGGGACUUUACCACACCAGCCUUCACCUUUGACAUAUUUUUCACAUUCUUAACAGAAUCAUUCUCCUUAAUUCUUUUCCUUUCACCGUCAUUCUUCUUAUCAACCAUCCUCGUAACAUUCUUACUCGUAGAAACCAUCCUAUACAAAACCGGAAGAAAUCACAAACGACGACAACCACGAAAGAAGAAUACCACCGACGGCGACAACCAGGAAAGAAGAAGAUGGAGCGGCGACGUUCACAAAUAAGUCAAACGAAGCAGCGGCGUAUGGAAUAUUACUACCAGAGGCAGCACACUAAGAAGAAUCGAAAUUUGGUUUCUAAUUUCUCAAAUUAGAAAUAUAAGGGAUUCAAAUUGACAGAGAUAGAAACAACAAAUAAGAUAGACAAGCAAUUCAAAUUGUCACAUAUUAUGCACAAAACCCGGAAACAUUUACCAUUUGAAAAAAUGAUUUACCACAUCAGCAACCCAUUAAAACACUCAACUAAAUUAAAGGGAUACCAAAUGCACUAAUUGUGUAAAUAAAAUAUUGAAAAUGUUUUAAUUCUGUAAAUAUUUUUCGGAUGCACUUUUGUUGUAAUUUUUUUUUUAAAUGUACUAGAAAGUGUAAACAACCCAAUUAAAAUACAGAAAAUAACUUUAUGCGACAUAAUAAUUAGACAAAUUAGACCCGAGUGUUUUAUAAUUUCACUUAUUCGCAUUUUAAUUUUUAAUAAUGAGUCAAAAUAUAAAUAAGUGAAAUUGUAAAUCAAUCUUGUCCAAUUUUCAUAUCAAAUUAUCAUAUUCUCGUAUAAGAGGUCUAAAAUAUAUAAUAAGUUGACCAUGCAUCUACUCGGUUUAUAUAUUGUUUUUAAACAAAAAUAUAGUUUAAAAUUACUCUAAAAUAAGCUAUCGACAAACGAGAGCAAAUCCUCUGUCCCCAUUUUUCAUGUCCCCUUGUGUCCCCCCACUUAAAUUUUGACACCUAAUUUUUUAUUUAAGUUUAGACUUAAUUAGUGUUAAGUAAAAGACUAGGGUGGUGUUUGAUAAAACUGAGUGUUAAGACUUUAGACGUCUGAAUAAUAUAGAGCAUCUGAAUAGAAUUGUGUCUGAAUGAAAAAAAAUUGUUUGAUAAUUAAUUUUUCCAAAAUGUCUGAAUAACGGUAUUUUACCAUUUUAACCCUCUGAACAAUUUAAACAAAACCUGUUUGAUAAUCAUAAGGUCUGAAUAGUAUUUUAAAUACAUAUUUAUAAUAUUUUGACCACAAUAUGAUAAAAUAAAAAUAAAAAACGUACAAAUUAAAUUAACUUCAAACAUAGUAUCAUGUCCCAAAAAUAAUUAUGCAUCACGAGAGAGACGUAUCAAUUCUCGACACUGUGUAUUUGAUCCAUGUAAUAACUAAUGUGUAAGCAUGUCCGCUCAAUGCCGAAGUAUUAUCCAUAAUCCUUGGUAUUCUCCUUAAAGAUCGUGUUUUCAAAUACCAAUAUAUAAUCAUCAAACAUAAAAUUUGAUCCUCAAUAUCCAUAUUACCUAUAUAAAACAUAACAAUUUUAAAAUACUAUAACAAUAGUAUACAAAAGAUAAUGACCAAAGAAAACAGAGUAAUAGCAAAUAUCACAUCCAUAAUUUAAGUAAUCUCGGGUCUUAACUUCUCCUAAUUAUAGAUUUUUAGGCAAAAUCUCUCUUUUAGGAAUUUAAUCGAACAUAAUGCGAGCGCCCAUUUUAAGGACUGACUUCAUAGCCAAUUAGUUAAGUUUUCAUCAAUGUUUUUCCUCCUUAUAGCACCGCACAACACAUACUAGCUCCAUAUUUCUAAUUCAGUCCAUAGCAACCAAUUACACAACCAAAUCCAAUAUAUAUAUAUAUAAUUAGUUUAUAACUAGUUAGUUUACUAACUUUACAAAUUCUUCAAAGUUCCAUAUUUUCCUUGGUUCAUACCCAUAAUUCAAUUACCCAAGGUUUCAUAUGCCAAAUCCAGUCAAGCUAAUUCAUACACAGUGAAUUCAUAUGUAAUUUAGCAAUUUACCAACUAAAUCACAUACUAACUUCAUAUAAACUAAUAAAAACAUACAUAAUUCAAUGUAUACCUUUUUAUUAGCUUGAUUCUAGUCUCCAUAGGCCUUCUUUAUUGUACAUAGCUAAACCAAUUUAAAGUUGAAUUAACAGAGGGCAGCUUGGCCGGGACUGUUUUUGCACAGGGAAGGGCUCGGCUACAUGGAGGAAAAAGUAAUGAGUAUUCGACUAACUAGGAGAAAUGAGGAGAAGGUUGGGCUCUCCAAUUUGUAAGCAAAUUUUGC